UACGUAGGGGGCAAGCGUUGUCCGGAAUCAUUGGGGGUAAAGAGCGUGUAGGCGGCCAGAAAAGUCCGCUGUGAAAACUCGAGGCUCAACUUCGAGCUGUCGGUGGAAACUUUCUGGCUAGAGUCCGGAAGAGGAGAAUGGAAUUCCUGGUGUAGCGGUGAAAUGCGCAGAUAUCAGGAAGAACACCCGUGGCGAAGGCGGUUCUCUGGGACGGUACUGACGCUGAGACGCGAAAGCGUGGGGAGCGAACAGG
rnacentral:rRNA from 1 species